UGUAAAUCAGUUGACAUUAAAUAUAUUUUUAUUGGUGAGGAAGUCAGAAGAGAACUUGUGGGAGUCAUUUCUCCCCUCCACCAUGUGGGUUCUAGGGAAUGAACUUGGGCUGUCAGACCCAGGGUAUGUGCCUUUACCCUCUAAAGCCAUCUCACCAGCCCACAAGCCAUUUCAUUUUAGAUAGUGAGGAUUGUCCAAGUGGGAACACUACAAUCGCUAGAUCCUGAGAUGUGUCAGGACAGUGUGUGCCAGAGAGAGAGAUAAAGUUAUUGUGUGUGCAUUUAUCAAAACAGCUAAGCAAUCCUUUCCCUCUAAAAUAAAAACUAUUCUCAAAACAUGAUUCCCAUGAACAUUUAUUUAUUAAGUCUACACAAGGUAAAGGCAACGCCUGACACAUCAAUCCUAUCCAGAGCCACUUCUUCCGCACUCUUCCUUCUUUGUUGGGAGCAUCUCAGACUUCCAUUGUUUUCUACAAUGACACACUAUCCAGAAGGCUACCAGUGGGCUUGUUUCAAAGUUGGAGUCUUCUCAGAACGUUGAGGAGACUGCAAUGAUUGCCUCAGCAAAUGGAACCUUUACUCUGCUGUCUAAAUUAAAAUUAAAAUAAAUAAAACGAGUUACCAAGAGAACCUCAAAGAUCUGGCCCAUCUUUAGUCAUUAGACAUUUUGAACUUGGGUGUGGAUUUUAUUUCUCUAAGUAUAAUCCCUUAUCCUCUCUUGUCUUCCUGUGUCUUACAUGAAAAAUUUAAGCACUAGCUGCUAGCCAUUCUGUUGUUAUAAGCAAUAAUAAUAGAGAAUUGAAAAACAAAAGUACAAAAAGAACCAAGAGGGUCUAGAGAGACGGCUCAGCAGUUAGCCACAGAGGCUGCUCUUCAAAUGGACCCAGGCUCAAUUGCAAGCACCCAAAUGGCAGCUCAUUGGAGUCUGUAACUCCAGUUCCAGGGGCUCUGGCACCUUUUUUCUAGCCUCUGUGGGUACCAGGCACAUACAGGGUGAACAGACAUACAUGCAGCAUAACACCCAUACACAUAAAAUAAUAAUUUUUAAAAACAUUUUCAAAGCCGGAAGAGAGGGCAUAUUAAAACAGAAAUUGCUGAUUCAGCAGAGCUUUGGGGUUUUUCAUGGAAUAAUGCAAUCUAUGUGUUAGACAGUGGUUUGACUAAGAGUCCGUGAGUUGGACUGGGUUCCACACCCUAGAGAGACAAAUGGAAAUUUAUGAGUACUCAAGGGAGAAAGAAUUUGUGUCCUGUCAUAAGUGUACACGAGGCCCCAGAUCCUUAAAUAGAAAAGGCCUGCGUGAAGGAAUAAUUUCCUUUUUGUUUUUUAUUUUAUUUUUAUUUACUUUGAGAUGGGGGUUUUGCUCUGUAGACCAGGCUGGCCUGGAACUAAGAGAUUCAGCUGCCUCAGAUUCCCAAAGUUCUCAGGUUAAAGAUUUGUGCCACCAUUUCUGUCCAUGCUUGCAAUUUAUCUCAGCUUUGGGGAAGGCGUUAAAUGUGGAGUCCAUUCUGAAGGAACUAAAAUUAGCAUCAAAUAGGACAACAAAUCUCUAGAGAGGCAUCAGGGAUAAAAGAGAAGAGACUUACAAAGUCAAGAUUUCGAGUGAAGGUGGGGGUCCCGCCUGCAAUGAGAUACAGAAAUGGUUUCCAUUCACUUUAAGUAUCAUUCACUCAUGCUACCAACAUUUGUCUUAGAGGAAGAAAACGUGAAAUUUUAUGAGCGCUUCACUAAGUGCUAGACAGAAAGAUGUGAAAAUGCAGAGGGUAUAGCGGCUCACACCUUUAAUCCCAGAACCCAGGAGGCAGAGGCUGGCAGAUCACUGUGAGUUCAGGGCCAGCCCAGUGUUCAUAUCAAGUUCCAGGGCUGGAGCAACAUAGAAAGACCCUGUCAAUAGAUAGAUAGAUAGAUAGAUAGAUAGAUAGAUAGAUAGAUCAUAUAAAUGAGAGUGCCAAAGAGAUCCAUUGAUUAACUCAUGAAGUCUUGAAUCCCCUUUGCUUUUGUUGAGUCCAAAUAUAAAGGACGUUUACACUUAUCAAAAUUUUGAGCCGGAUACUGUCUGUCUGUAAUAUAUUGUAUCCACUGCAAUAGAAAAGGGGGUGAUUAAUCCUAUCUUCCUAACCACAUUUCCAAGCCCAUGGAUACCCAAGGAGCUAGCCCUCUAGAGCUGCCCAGGGCUUGUUCCUUAGAUCAGGUGACUGACAACAAGCUUUGUUGUCACCAACAGGUGUCUUCUGUUGAAAAUAUUCCAGGAAAGUGGAAUACAUAUUCCUCGAGUUUCAAAGAACUUUUGGUAAAAUUCACUCCACCUUAAAGAUCAAAGCAGCAACUUUCCCAACUGGAGUAAAUACAGGACCUCUCUCAGCAGUGAGACAGAAGAAAAGGGCAUGGAGAGGAAUGCCAGCAAUUUUAAAGAUAGACUGCUCCUACCUGGGAUCUCAGUGGUUUCUUCCAGGAAAAUGGUGGGGACUGUCUCAGCCUCAAGAGUAGAUACUAGGAAGACAGAAUGGAAGACAGGGCUGGUCACCAGCUGUGGAGGAAAGCACAAGAUGGGGACAGAAACACCAGUCCAGACCUCCAGAAACCACACCCUCACUUACCAGAAAUCUGUGUGCUGUUGUCAUACUCUUCUGUGAAUGACAUGAAGUCCAGAGAGAGCUUAAAGUCAGCAGUUGAAUCAUUGUGUUUGUCAUUGUGUCGUUUAUCUUUUACCUCUUUCUCAAUUGGUGUGGGUAGAUUAUUGGUUGACUUUAGCAUGGCAAUGAUUAAAUUCAGUCGUUCUUCACUUUCAAUAGCUAAAUUUAGUAGUUCUUCAAUGGAUGAGCCUAAUGGGUCAUAGAGGAUUGGUUCUGAAAGGUAAUUGGUUGAGUCACCUUGGUUAUAACUAGUUGGAUCUAAUUGAUUCUGGUAGGUCUUUACUAGUAGAUUCUAAAGGUAAGUAGUGGAUUCUAAAGAAGUCCAACAGGAAAGAACAGCUCAAGUCUUUUCCAGUAAGCAUGUUCUCGGCCCUCUGUUCAAAGGGAAGUAUAAUGUGGCUGCUGUUGUGUGGUCUCACCACAGUCCUGUUCCCCAGCUAAGUUCCUGGGCUGACUGCUUCUCAGAGCAACGUGACAAGAGCCCACUCUUGCUUUCUUUAAGGGGCCAGUUGAGGAAAGAGCAUCUGUAUUAUACCACUGUCCAUGUGCUGGUCAGACUGAUGCAAAAGAAGAAGUUAAGACUCACUUCUAAAAUCCCUCCAGAUUUCUGAAAUCUACUAGUGGAUCAAAUGUAAAGAAACCACUGGUCCUACAAGAAUGGAAUGAAAGGUAACAUGUUCCAUUACACUACUUUUUACUUAAUGCCCUGUGUCCAGGCCCCAUUUUCAGCACUUCCCAAAACACUCACCCCUAAUGUCGUAGGGCUGGUGACCUACAGAACCCUCACAGCCACAUGGUCUACUGUGCACAGGGAACUUAUCUCACCAUGGCAGGAACUGUCACCAGCAUCACUGUCUCUCUCUCUGCUUCUCACUGGGCUUCAUCUCACAUGUGUGUGGAGUGGGGAAGCCCACCCAUCAGCCCAGACAGUGAGAGUCAUCUGACAGGAGCAUGUGAAGGGAACAUGUCACUUUCACUCAGCUGGGUGAGCAGCUCUCCUAAGAAACUGCCUGAGUUCAGAAACAACUAGAACAGAAAGCUUUGGGAUUGGAAGUUCCUUUUUCCCUCUGGCUCAUAAGGACAUUAUUUCUUUCCUUACUGAACAUGGUACAAGUUUCCAUCCCAGCCCCACACAGAUCACAGUCUGUGACAGAGCUGCCUGCCAAUGCUCUCAGACAUGACUGAAGCUCACUGUGUUGAGGCACCCACAACUCUUCACCCUAAUUCAACAGAAUCAUAUCACCUCCUUGACACCCAGUGAGGAUGGGACCAUCAGAAAUAUCUCAGCCAUUCUGCCCUGGUCCCAUCUGACCAAGCUUGUUAACUCUAUGUGGUUAAUUCAAACUCACAACCAAAUCAUAGAACAGCUGCCAUUCUCACCUAAAACUAUCUUGACGAAUUAUCUGAUUUCUCCUUAAAACUUUUGCUACAAAUCAAUACCUCCCACACCAUCUCACACAAACACAUGAUCACACACUUCAACUUCCUUCUCCAAAGGAUUCCAAGCUACACAUACCUUUGUUCACUCUGGGGAAAGCCAUACCCAGAGCACACAAGAUAGAGAUCACCAGAACCUUGGAGAGCAUCAUGCUUCCUCAGGAUUGAGGCAACCAGCAAGCAGGGGGAAGGAAUUAGUCCAGGAAGAGCUCUGCUGGGCUUUUAUGCAUUCCUCUACCCUGUCCCUGAGGGUGGUUUUCCACAGUUGGCUGGAGGAGAAAAAAAAAAAAAAGAGGGG
rnacentral:lncRNA from 1 species